rnacentral:rRNA from 1 species
CCUACGGGAGGCAGCAGGGGGGAAUAUUGCGCAAUGGGCGAAAGCCUGACGCAGCGACGCCGCGUGAGGGAUGAAGGUCUUCGGAACGUAAAACUCUGUCAGCAGGGAAGAACGGUCACUGUGCUAAUCAGCAGUGAAUUGACGGUACCUGCAAAGGAAGCACCGGCUCACUCCGUGCCAGCAGCCGCGGUAAUACGGAGGGUGCGUGCGUUAAUCGGAAUUACUGGGCGUAAAGGGCUCGUAGGCGGUAUGUCAAGUCAAGGGUUAAAUCCCCGCCCUCAACGUGGGAACUGCCUUUGAAACUGGCAGACUGGAGUGUGUGAGAGGAUAGUGGAAUUCCAGGUGUAGCCGUGAAAUCCGUAGAUAUCUGGAGGAACAUCAGUGGCGAAGGCGACUCUCUGGCACAUAACUGACGCUGAGGCGCGAAAGCGUGGGUAGCAAACAGGAUUAGAUACCCGAGUAGUC